GAUGAAGAACGCAGCGAAAUGCGAUACUUGGUGUGAAUUGCAGAAUCCCGUGAACCAUCGAGUCUUUGAACGCAAGUUGCGCCCGAAGCCAUCAGGUUGAGGGCACGUCUGCCUGGGCGUCACAUAUCGUUGCCCAAUGCCUAUUGCAGUGCAAUAGGAAUUUCUAGGGCGAAUGAUGGCUUCCCGUGAGCGUUGUUGCCUCGCGGUUGGUUGAAAAUCGAGUCCUUGGUAGGGUGUGCCAUGGUAGAUGGUGGUCGAGUUAGAACGAUACCGAUCAUGUGCAUGCUCCCCAAAAUAUGGCCUCUAUGACCCACACACGUCUUUUGACGCUCAUGACGAGACCUCAGGUCAGGCGGGGCUACCCGCUGAAUUUAAGCAUAUCAAUAAGCGGAGGA
rnacentral:misc_RNA from 1 species